GGUGGUCACUCUGGAAAGCUGGCGCCUGACCCCGAUUCCUCAGCCUCUUGCUGAUACCCUCUUCUUCCUACCCCUGGGUCUGUUGGCAUGAAGUUGUUGCCUGCUCCCAGGUCUCAUCGUGUAGUUCAGGCUGGCCUCAAACGCCUGAUAAUGAAGAGGAAAGUCCCUCCUGGCCUGGAACUGGGCAACUAUGGGUUACCUGCCCGCUAAGAUCCUGCGGACACUGACAGUACAUACCCAUCUGUGUGCAGAGGCUGGAUGUGCGUUAUGAAGCUUUGAAGUGCCAGGUCUCAGUGCUUGAAGUGACUCCAAGCACUUGCAUCGUUGCUGAGAGUGAUGUAUACUUUGCUGUGCACAGCACUUGGUCUGUCAAACGUGAGGUUUGUUCAUGUUAUUCUCCCCUUCGGUGGAACAGGGAACUCUUCUGCGAGGCCUGAGACAUCUCUGCUUUUGAAGCCGCCACCUCCAACUUCACCUGGCCCGAAGCAUGACAGAGGAGCGAGCCUCACAAUACAUCUGACUACAAGCUCCUUUCUCCAGCCAGUGGGUUUUUGUUAGGGGUAGGGUGGUAGGGAUGGAAAGAUGAUGAGAUGGAAGGGACUGGUUUAGCCAGAUUAUCUUUAUUUUCAAUCUGCCAUACCUUAUAAUUAAUCUUAAGAGCUGAGACAAGUGUCUCUGGUCCUGGUCUGAGCAGGCUGUCCUGGAAGGAAUGGCACUCCAAGUUGUGAAAGGGGAAGAACACACUGAUAUUGGGUUGAAUCUUAAUCUUUCACUUUACUAUUUCAACUAUACAACUGUUACAUUUUCCUCUAUCAGUAAGAUAGAACUACUGAGUUAAAGGGAAAUAGCUCUACCAAGCCUACCAUUGCCAAGUGCCUAGAUCUGUAAGUUUUUAGCAUUGUAUAAACUUACAGAAGUUGUACUUGAGAACAGUCCUAUUAAAGAUAAUACUUUAA